GUGGGGAAUAUUGGACAAUGGGCGAAAGCCUGAUCCAGCCAUGCCGCGUGUGUGAAGAAGGUCUUCGGAUUGUAAAGCACUUUACGUUGGGAGGAAGGGCAGUAAGUUAAUACCUUGCUGUUUUGACGUUACCGACAGAAUAAGCACCGGCUAACUUCGUGCCAGCAGCCGCGGUAAUACGAAGGGUGCAAGCGUUAAUCGGAAUUACUGGGCGUAAAGCGCGCGUAGGUGGUUCAGCAAGUUGGGGGUGAAAUCCCCGGGCUCAACCUGGGAACUGCCUCCAAAACUACUGGGCUAGAGUACGGUAGAGGGUAGUGGAAUUUCCUGUGUAGCGGUGAAAUGCGUAGAUAUAGGAAGGAACACCAGUGGCGAAGGCGACUACCUGGACUGAUACUGACACUGAGGUGCGAAAGCGUGGGGAGCAAACAGGAUUAGAAACCCGGGUAGUCC
rnacentral:rRNA from 1 species